UGGCGCUCCGUGUGAUGCCGAAGGAAAGAUUGGGUUGAAUUAAUGCUCUUUUAUUUUAUUUGAUGAUGAUAUAGAUCGAAAGGAUCAUAGGAAGGAAAAGUGGGUUUCUGUUUUGUUCUUCGAUUUGAGACUUUCUCGGAAGGAGAUUAGAGAUGGGUUUCUUCAGUAC